UAUGAAGUUUUGAGGCAUCUCGAAACUUUUAAAAGACCCGCAAGGGUAUGCUGAGAGAUGGGCUUGCGGCACAUUAGUUAGUUGGUAAGGUAAUGGCUUACCAAGACUAUGAUGUGUAGCUGGACUGAGAGGUUGAACGGCCACAUUGGGACUGAGAUACGGCCCAAACUCCUACGGGAGGCAGCAGUAAGGAAUUUUCGGCAAUGGAGGAAACUCUGACCGAGCAACGCCCGCGUGAACGAUGAAGUAUUUAGGUACGUAAAGUUCUUUUAUUAAAGAAGAAAAAAUGAUGGAAAAAUCAUUCUGACGGUAUUUAAUGAAUAAGCCCCGGCUAACUAUGUGCCAGCAGCUGCGGUAAUACAUGGGGGGCAAGCGUUAUCCGGAUUUAUUGGGCGUAAAGGGUGCGUAGGCGGUUAAAUAAGUCUAUGGUAUAAGUUCAACGCUUAACGUUGUGAUGCUAUAGAAACUGUUUGACUAGAGUUGGAUAGAGGCAAGUGGAAUUCCAUGUGUAGCGGUAAAAUGCGUAAAUAUAUGGAGGAACACCAGUAGCGAAGGCGGCUUGCUGGGUCUUAACUGACGUUGAGGCACGAAAGCGUGGGGAGCAAACAGGAUUAGAUACCCUGGUAGUCCACGCCGUAAACGAUGAGUACUAAGUGUUGGGUUAAACCAGUGCUGAAGUUAACACAUUAAGUACUCCGCCUGAGUAGUACGUACGCAAGUAUGAAACUUAAAGGAAUUGACGGGACUCCGCACAAGCGGUGGAUCAUGUUGUUUAAUUCGAAGAUACACGAAAAACCUUACCAGGUCUUGACAUACUCUGCAAAGCUAUAGAAAUAUAGUGGAGGUUAUCAGGGAUACAGGUGGUGCAUGGUUGUCGUCAGCUCGUGUCGUGAGAUGUUGGGUUAAGUCCCGCAACGAGCGCAACCCUUAUCACUAGUUACCAUCAUUUAGUUGGGCACUUUAGUGAGACUGCCAAUGAUAAAUUGGAGGAAGGUGGGGAUUACGUCAAAUCAUCAUGCCCCUUAUGACCUGGGCUACAAACGUGAUACAAUGGCUGUUACAAAGAGUAGCUGAAACGUAUUUUAGCAAGUCUCAAAAAAACAGUCUCAGUUCGGAUUGAAGUCUGCAACUCGACUUCAUGAAGUCGGAAUCGCUAGUAAUCGCGAAUCAGCAUGUCGUGGUGAAUACGUU
rnacentral:rRNA from 1 species